UACGUAGGGUGCAAGCGUUGUCCGGGAUUAUUGGGCGUAAAGAGCUCGUAGGCGGUCUGUCGCGUCUGCUGUGAAAACUCGGGGCUUAACCCCGGGCCUGCAGUGGGUACGGGCAGACUAGAGUGCGGUAGGGGAGACUGGAAUUCCUGGUAUAGCGGUGAAAUGCGCAGAUAUCAGGAGGAACACCGGUGGCGAAGGCGGGUCUCUGGGCCGUAACUGACGCUGAGGAGCGAAAGCGUGGGGAGCGAACAGG
rnacentral:rRNA from 1 species